rnacentral:rRNA from 1 species
UUUGUGAUGAUGCAAUCUACCCGCGGCUAGACGGAAAGACCCCAUGAACCUUUACUGUAGCUUUGCAUUGGACUUUGAACCAAUCUGUGUAGGAUAGGUGGGAGGCUUUGAAGCGGGAACGCCAGUUCUCGUGGAGCCAACCUUGAAAUACCACCCUGGUUUGUUUGAGGUUCUAACCUUGGUCCGUUAUCCGGAUCGGGGACAGUGCAUGGUAGGCAGUUUGACUGGGGCGGUCUCCUCCUAAAGUGUAACGGAGG